ensembl:lncRNA
CACCUUUCAACAAGCUAAGGCUUACAGAGGUAAGCGGUGCCUUGGGGUGAGAUUAUAGUUCAUUUGGGGGCAUGGUGGAUUUGAGAUUCCUACAACGCAUUCUGCCGUGGAGGCAUGAGGGUUAGAUUUAAGAAAUUCCCCUUCUCCCUUUAAGAUAUCUCAGAGGUAGGAGGAGGUCUCAUGGAUAGCCUGUUCAUGCAUGAAAAUUACCCUUCAAUAAAGCCUGAAGAGAAUUGGACUUGAGAUGGCUACACAUCUGACCGUCCACUUAGCCACUCAAAUCCCAAACAGAGGUAUUCAGCUUGAUCAUGGCAGUUGGAAUUUGCUUCUGUAGUUGAAGUGGUUUCUCCUGGCAUGAAAACUGGCUUUCAGCUUUUCUUUAGUUCCUGGGUUUUGAGAAUGCACGUGUUGGUCCUGCACCCUCCUUGGUAAUUCCACCGACUAUAAACUCAGCUGAGGACAGAUUCCUAUUCCAGCUGAGAAAGGAGACAUUCUUUGUGUGGGCAGGAGCAAAACGCUGCUCUGAAGUGGGAAAAAUUGCCAAUCUGCUUUUACAGUCCCCAUACAGAUUCUUUCUUUCUGACCUAUGACAAAAGUUUUUGCAGUUUUAGGAGAAACAUUUUAAAAUUUACGAAUUGCUGCAGGAUUUCGUGACAUGAGUUUAACAAGGCAUUGACUCUGUGCCUGGCCCAGUGGGAAGGAACCAGGCCUCAAGAACUGGGACGAUGAAACUUCUGCCCUCCUGGAGUUGACCCAGGAGUCAGACACAUAGAUGAAUGAUAAUGUGGCAGAGGAAGUACCACCAUCAAACCGUGCAAAGUACUGUGGGGACCCACCGAGGAAGAGGCUGUGGUUCUGUAAUGAACUUGAGUACAGGGGGAUGUUUUUGUGUUUCAAGAAAAUUAAUGGAGAUGAUAAUUUCUAUCUAAAUGAGGAAGUAGAGGGAGGUUACAAACAAUUUGUCUUCUCUCCUUUUCUCCACCCCACGCCCCAUCCUCUCUCCCCACCCCCCACCCCCUUCCCCCACUCCUACCAGGAACUCAGCACUUCCCAGCAUACGUGUGUCAUGUGUAUAUUAUUUGUUUUUGUUUGUUUUUGUUUUCUUUUACUUGUAUUGGGGAAAUUUUCAAACUUAAGCAAAACUAGAAGGGUUGAAUUGAAACUGCAGCCACUGGCCUACACCACAGCCACAGUAAUGUGGGAUCCAAGCCACAUCUUCCACCUACACCACAGCUCACUGCAACGCCAGAUCCUUAACCCACUGAGUGGGGCCAGGGAUCGAACCCGCAUCCUCAUGGAUAACUGGUCAGAUUCGUUUCUGCAGGGCCACAACAGGAAUUUCUACAGCAUAGUAUCAUUAAACAUGAUCACCCUGUGGUCUUUGUGAAGAUCCAAUAAAAUCCUACAUGUGGAAAUUCUUCGUAAUUUACCCUUACUUUGCACACACAGAAUAUUAUUUCUUCUUGUGAACUUAUUUUUAUGACAGACUUCAACCUUUUGGACUUCAGGUUCUUUUCGUUUUGUUUUUUUUUUUGUGUGUGUGUGUGUGUUUUUAUUUGUGCAUUUCACAUUGAGAAUUAUUAUGCAUCCUUGAAACAGAAUGAGAUCAGAAAAGGGACAGGAGUUCCCGUCGUGGCGCAGUGGUUAA